CGAACUCCCAACUCUUGAGCCACGAUCGCCCUGUCUGCUGUAGUUGCCAUGGUAGCAGAUAUAGGGGGAACAAGUGUAGACGAUGCUACAAGAAGGAUGAUGAAAUUCCUCAUAUCACCUGAGCUGGCCAUGGAGUACAACUUGCUUGGUCGACAUGGGGAAAAAAAAGUUCUGAGAUUUGCGCCUCUUUAAUGUUGUGUAUGAGGCACUGAAGAAGAAUUCUUUGACAGCAAAAGUCAACCUGCAAGAAACAGAGAAAGCUCUCUGCAAAUGGUUCACUGGAGCUAGAGACAGAGGAGGACUGAGGGCUGCAAGGGAACAAAAUAGACUAACGGCUCUGUAAAAAAACAUAACAGACACCCCUGCUGAUUCAAGACAAGGUUCUGAGUUUCCCUUCUUAUUUUUUCCCAUGUUGCUACAGUUCCAACUCUAAGCAAUUUGAAUGUAGUUUGACAUUUCUAGUUUAUUAAGUUCACACUCCUUGGUAUACAGUUACUUAAACCCACAGUUGUUGGACAAAAUAAAUGUGAACAAAAUGUGUUUUGUGUCCCCUCUUGAUGUUUCUGUUUGCAGUCAGCUUUAAUAUAUUUAGUGUCUUUGUGUCACAGAAGCCGUAUUGGCCGUCUGUUAAAUUGAUUUUGUGGCUGUUUUUCUACAUGGGACCCACCCAGUGCCAGAAAUUAGCCAAUUCAAACAAGAAGUAAGAUGCAACUACAGAACCCACUGAUAAUGCCAUUCCAAAUUUUUAGCUCAUGUUUUCCUCAUGUUGUACCCACUAAGAACUUGAAAAAUGGGGCCUAGGUGGGUUUCUGUGUACUUUGCCCAGUUGGGGCCCAUUUAGUUCCC